rnacentral:rRNA from 1 species
AACGAACGCUGGCGGCAUGCCUAACACAUGCAAGUCGAACGAGAUCUUCGGAUCUAGUGGCGCACGGGUGAGUAACGCGUGGGAACCUACCUUUUAGUACGGGACAACGUCUGGAAACGGACGCUAAUACCGUAUACGCCCUCCGGGGGAAAGGCUUGCCGCUAAAAGAGGGGCCCGCGUCUGAUUAGCUUGUUGGUAAGGUAAUGGCUUACCAAGGCUACGAUCAGUAGCUGGUCUGAGAGGAUGAUCAGCCACACUGGGACUGAGACACGGCCCAGACUCCUACGGGAGGCAGCAGUGGGGAAUAUUGGACAAUGGAGGCAACUCUGAUCCAGCAAUGCCGCGUGUGUGAUGAAGGCCUUAGGGUUGUAAAGCACUUUCAACGGUGAAGAUGAUGACGGUAGCCGUAGAAGAAGCCCCGGCUAACUUCGUGCCAGCAGCCGCGGUAAUACGAAGGGGGCGAGCGUUAUUCGGAAUUAUUGGGCGUAAAGGGCUCGCAGGCUGCUUGAACAGUUAGACGUGAAAUCCCCGGGCUCAACCUGGGAACUGCGUUUAAUACUAGCAAGCUAGAGUAAUAGAGAGGAAAGUGGAAUUCCCAGUGUAGAGGUGAAAUUCGUA